rnacentral:rRNA from 1 species
UACGAAGGGGGCGAGCGUUGUUCGGAUUUACUGGGCGUAAAGGGCGCGCAGGCGGCUCAUUUUGUCAGGCGUGAAAGCCCCGGGCUUAACCUGGGAACUGCGUUUGAUACGGAUGGGCUAGAGUUCGGGAGAGGAGAGUGGAAUUCCCAGUGUAGAGGUGAAAUUCGUAGAUAUUCGCAAGAACACCAGUGGCGAAGGCGGCUCACUGGCCCGAUACUGACGCUGAGGUGCGAAAGCGUGGGGAGCGAACAGG